rnacentral:rRNA from 1 species
AACGACUCUCGACAACGGAUAUCCCGGCUCUCGCAUCGAUGAAGAACGUAGCGAAAUGCGAUACUUGGUGUGAAUUGCAGAAUCCCGUGAACCAUCGAGUCUUUGAACUCAAGUUGCGCCCGAAGCCAUUAGGCCGAGGGCACGUCUGCCUGGGUGUCACGC